rnacentral:lncRNA from 1 species
GUCAUGGGCGCACUACGUUUGCGCUCAUUUGGGGAUUAAAAUCUUUUAUGUUUGCGCGCAGCUUUUGAUUACAUUUGCGCGCAUUUAUCUUACAGGUAAAUUCAGGUAAAAAAGGGUACACAAUGAAAUAUAAAUAAUACAAAAAUUCAUUAACUUUGAAAAUAUAUUGUAAUCAUAUAUUGUUCAUAUUGUAUUCUAAGACAAAAUAUAAAGUGUGCAUGGUAAAUUCUGUUAUAACUAAAGGCAUACAUGUAACAUCAUUGCGAUUUUUCAGGGUGAACAAGUACCCCGAAUAGUGAGCUCUUUAAAAUUCUAAAUAAUCUAAGUUAGUUUGUAAAGUUUUGUCAAGGCAUGAACAUUUGAGGAUUUUUAUUAUAGCAAAUCGGGGUAAAAUCAUUAGUAUAUGAUGAGUAUUAAACUUUCCGGAUUGAUAGAAUAUAAUGCAACCGACUUAUCCUGCUUGUAUCCAACUUCUACCUCCUUGUGGGUGAGUAGGUCACUUAGACUAACGGAAAGGGUACUUUUACUUAAAAUAAAUUGAAUAAAUUCAUAGAUAAAUAAGUGUUAUUGCCUAAGCUUACCUGAGUUUACCUGUCAAAUAAAUGCGCGCAAUUGUAAUGAAAAGCUGCGCGCAAACGUAAUGAUUUUUGCGCGCAAAUGUAAUGGUAAUGCGCGCAAACG